rnacentral:lncRNA from 1 species
CGGGCCCGCUCGAUGAGGGCGCCGCCAUCUUGGGGAGGUGCGCGCGACCGGCGGCGAGGCGCCAUCUUGGGGAAGUGGCGUCGUUGCGGCGUGAGUGGAAAAAUAUGCCAUCUGGUAUUCUUCCUUUGGUGCAAGAGUUACUCUUGAUGGAACCUUUUGAUAAAAUAAUGUGACGUGUUUUUGGAUGUACUGGAGCAGGAAUUGUUUCCAUAGUUUGUGGAGAAGUUGGGCGCUGCUUCUGUUUGGUGUUUGAAAGGAAGGAAUGUCAGCACUGUGAAACAGCUGGGGUUUUGGGUUGUUAUGUUACUGUCACGUUCAGGUAAGUCCCUAUCUACUGUGCCAUGGAGGAACAGGGUAACAAAGAAUUGAGCAGAAACAGGCUUCUUGAAAAUCUUGCUAUUAUAUUUGGCUAGGGGAAGUAAAAUAAAUAAAUUAGAAAUAAAUAACAUGCAAUCACAGCAGAGCAGAAGUUAUGGAAGACUAGUUCUAGCCUUUUGGUUUUGUGUAGCCUAUAGCUCUGUGGCUGCUUUAUUUAUCAGAGCAGAACUUAUCUGAGCAGCACUACUAUGUGUGAUAAGGGGAAAGAAGCCAUGCAUUCCUGCUGGGGUCUCCAGGUGCAUCCUGCAAAUGUGAAGCACCACCACCAGUAGCACUGAGUGCUUGGGCAGCUGGGUGUGAGGUCUCCGGGUUGCUGUGGAGCACACAGAGAAAGGACUGAGAACUGUUAGCAGGUGUCUUUCUGUUCUUUGGAGAUUUUGAUGAGAUCCACAGAGAAUCAUGUUAGAAAAGAGGAAAUAAAUAACGUGUCAGCAGAACACAUUAGAAAAUAUUUUCUUCUGAUUUCUACAGAAGAUAAGUAAUUUGUCAUUCCUGUGAUCCUGGGGAGUGAGUUUUGCUUUCAUUGGGAAGUUCCUAAGAUCACUGUUUCCCCUCAGGAGAUGAAAAACCAGAUGGCACACCAAUAAACCAGUUGAGAGGCUGGCUUGCCAGGGACAGUAAUUGGCAGUGAUGUCACAAAAUGUUUUUUUUUCUUCCCCAAAUGUUUUUAAAGAUGUUUUCCAUGCCCAUCUGCUGUCUGUUAUUAAAGUCGACACACAGCAUCUGUGUGUAUGGAAGGGUUUGCUAAGCUGGGGUCAGUGUUGCAAACUUGGUACUGAUGCAAGGAGGUGAAUGUGUGAAACUCAGUGAUAAAAGGAUCUACCCAGGUUAUUAGUAAAACCUUCCAGAUCUCCUCUUUUCUGAAAUCCAUGUAUUGUGGAGGCCUCAGAGAAACAGGACUACACUGAUGGUUAACCUUAGCAGUGGGACUCCGUCCUCACCUAUUUUGUGAGCAGCGAGCAAAUCACCAUUAACUGCGCGGUGUACUGAGUGUUGCCUAUUGCUGAAUGUUUGUCCCGAUGUAAGGAAAUACACAGAUAAUGUUGAGCUUGGCUUUUUGGCGUAGUGCAGGGACACUGACAUUUUAGAAGGUGUCAUAAUGAGUCAGCUGUUGCAGAAAAUGGGUCCUGUUUUACUGUGAUCACUAUUUAUUAUGGUUUCCAGAAAUCUGGCUUUCUUCUAGAAGCUGCACUCCAACAGAAAAGAACUAGAGUUUUGCCCUCCAUGCCAGCUAAAUGCUGUUUAUUCUUGUCGUGGCUUUCCGUGGUUGUUUCUUGUCUCUGCUGGAGGGGUGCCAUCAUCAGAACUCUGUUAAUGAAGCUAGAUCCUGCAUCUCCUGUGGCAAGAAAAGGAGGCCACAUUUAAGGAUAUAUCAAGAGCAGUGAAAGGGUAAGAUCUGGUGGUUAUAGGUGCUGUCCCAGAUAGGAAGACUGCAGGCAAAAUGUUGCAAAAUUUAGAGCUCUGAUAAUUAGAGUAUUUAUUCACAGAAACCUUGAAGAAUGUAACUUAUUUUCCAAUGAAAAAAGAAAAAUUAAUGCAUUCUAGAUAUAUAUAUAAAACAAAUUAUUGACAUCAAAUUAUAUGCACAAUUAAUUUUUUGUUAAAUAAGAGAUAAUGUAUGCAAUAUUAUGACAAUCUUCUAAAAGAUAACAAGUUUUUAAACUUUACCAGCACCAUGC